ensembl:lncRNA
CUUCAGGUGGUACCAAACUAAACAAUUCUGCAACAUCUGCUAUAUUUGAUACAGGAGCACAUGAUUUUGGCUAGCAUAACAGCUCUGAAAGGGCUGAAUCUUUAAGGAAGUUAAUUGCUGUGGGGAAGAUCCUAUGCAAUCCCAUGUGUGGUUGCUUUCUCCAGAGUAGCAGAAAAGCUGCUAGGGAAACCUGUGUUCCUGUGUGAGGGGAAAGAAAGACAUCUCUCCUGGAAAGGGUGAAGAUCUCUUAAAGUUGGCAAGCAUUAUCUUGAAAAUAAAGGAGACCAGCACCAGGGAAGAAUCAGCUGGGGAGGGUAUAGAUGGAUUAGGUUCUGUCUUGGAUAUGAAGAGGACAAGCAGAUUCCAUAAAGCAGCGGGUCAGAGCAAAACAAAAGACUCACUCCUGAAUUCCAGCCAAAGGACAGCUUCUAGGGAGGAGAUAAAAGAGUGGCAGAAAUGGCUGGUGAGCAUGAGACUGCCAGCUGCUGUGCAAGUGCUUCAGGACACAGAGAACCUGCAGGAUCACCAUAUGGAGAACAGACAUAUGCUAUACAGCCUAGACGUAAAUACAGACAAUUUACUGAAUAAAUG